ACGUAGGGUGCAAGCGUUAUCCGGAUUCAUUGGGUUUAAAGGGUGCGCAGGCGGGAUCUUAAGUCAGUGGUGAAAUCCCGGAGCUCAACUCCGGAACUGCCAUUGAUACUGAGAUUCUUGAAUGUGGUUGAUGUGGGCGGAAUGUGCCAUGUAGCGGUGAAAUGCUUAGAUAUGGCACAGAACACCGAUCGUGAAGACAGCUCACAAAACCAUUAUUGACGCUCAGGCACGACAGCGUGGGGAUCAAACA
rnacentral:rRNA from 1 species